CUGGCGGAUGCUUUACACAUGCAAGUCGAACGGUAGAGGGGGCAACCCCUUGAGAGUGGCGAACGGGUGAGUAAUAUAUCUGUGAACGUGCCCAGUUCGUGGGGGAUAACGUAGUGAAAAUUACGCUAAUACCGCAUACGAUCUAAGGAUGAAAGCGGGGGAUCGCAAGACCUCGCGCGACUGGAGCGGCCGAUAUCAGAUUAGGUAGUUGGUAGGGUAAAGGCCUACCAAGCCAACGAUCUGUAGCUGGUCUGAGAGGACGACCAGCCACACUGGAACUGAGACACGGUCCAGACUCCUACGGGAGGCAGCAGUGGGGAAUUUUGGACAAUGGGCGAAAGCCUGAUCCAGCCAUUCCGCGUGCAGGAUGAAGGCCCUCGGGUUGUAAACUGCUUUUGUACAGAACGAAAAGGUUUCUAUUAAUACUAGGAGCUCAUGACGGUACUGUAAGAAUAAGCACCGGCUAACUACGUGCCAGCAGCCGCGGUAAUACGUAGGGUGCAAGCGUUAAUCGGAAUUACUGGGCGUAAAGCGUGCGCAGGCGGUUAUAUAAGUCAGAUGUGAAAUCCCCGGGCUCAACCUGGGAACUGCAUUUGAGACUGUAUAGCUAGAGUACGGUUAGAGGGGGAUGGAAUUCCCC
rnacentral:rRNA from 1 species